GACAGAGGGGGCAAGCGUUGCUCGGAAUUACUGGGCGUAAAGGGCGCGUAGGCGGGAUGGCAAGUCGGUCGUGAAAUCCCUCGGCUCAACUGAGGAUCGUCGAUCGAUACUGCCGUUCUUGAGGAUUGCAGAGGAGACUGGAAUUCCCGGUGUAGCGGUGAAAUGUGUAGAGAUCGGGAGGAACACCGGUGGCGAAGGCGGGUCUCUGGGCAAUUCCUGACGCUGAGGCGCGAAAGCGUGGGGAGCAAACCGG
rnacentral:rRNA from 1 species